GACGUAGGGCGCGAGCGUUGUCCGGAUUUAUUGGGCGUAAAGAGCUCGUAGGCGGUUUGUCGCGUCGGGAGUGAAAAUCCAGGGCUUAACUCUGGACUGGCUUUCGAUACGGGCAGACUAGAGGUAUGCAGGGGAGAACGGAAUUCCUGGUGUAGCGGUGAAAUGCGCAGAUAUCAGGAGGAACACCGGUGGCGAAGGCGGUUCUCUGGGCAUUACCUGACGCUGAGGAGCGAAAGUGUGGGGAGCGAACAGG
rnacentral:rRNA from 1 species